rnacentral:rRNA from 1 species
AGUGAACGCUGGCGGCAGGCCUAACACAUGCAAGUCGAGCGGAAGCACAGUGAGAGCUUGCUCUUACGGGUGGCGAGGGGCGGAUGAGUGAGAAAUACAUCGGAAUCUACUUUUUCUUGGGGGAUAACGGGGGGAAACUUACGCUAAUACCGCAUAUGACCAACGGGAGAAAGCAGGGGAUCUUGGGACCUUUGGUGAUUCUAUGAGCCGAUGUCGCAUUAGCUAGUUGGGGGGGUAAAGGCCCACCAAGGCGACGAUCCGUAGCUGGGCUGAGAGGAUGAUCAGCCACACUGGAACUGAGACACGGUCCAGACUCCUACGGGAGGCAGCAGUGGGGAAUAUUGGACAAUGGGCGAAAGCCUGAUCCAGCCAUGCCGCGUGGGUGAAGAAGGUCUUCGGAUUGUAAAGCUCUUUUAUUGGGGAAGAACAGCAGUAGGUUAAUCCCUCGCUGUUUUGACGGUACCCAAAGAAUAAGCACCGGCUAACUUCGUG